AUAUUGGACAAUGGGGGCAACCCUGAUCCAGCCAUGUCGCGUGUGUGAAGAAGGUNUUNNGAUUGNANAGCACUUUAAGUUGGNNNNNAGGGGUUGAAGAUAAUACCUUCAAUCUUUGACGUUACCAACAGAAUAAGCACCGGCUAACUCUGUGCCAGCAGCCGCGGUAAUACAGAGGGUGCAAGCGUUAAUCGGAAUUACUGGGCGUAAAGCGCGCGUAGGUGGUUCAGUAAGAUGGGUGUGAAAUCCCCGGGCUUAACCUGGGAACUGCUUUCAUAACUGCUGAGCUAGAGUACGGUAGAGGGUAGUGGAAUUUCCUGUGUAGCGGUGAAAUGCGUAGAUAUAGGAAGGAACACCAGUGGCGAAGGCGACUACCUGGACUGAUACUGACGCUGAGGUACGAAAGCGUGGGUAGCGAACA
rnacentral:rRNA from 1 species